rnacentral:rRNA from 1 species
GGAUUUGUUUCAGCCGCCGCGGUAAUGCGUAGGGUGCAAGCGUUAAUCGGAAUUACUGGGCGUAAAGCGUGCGCAGGCGGUUAUGCAAGACAGAGGUGAAAUCCCCGGGCUCAACCUGGGAACUGCCUUUGUGACUGCAUGGCUAGAGUACGGUAGAGGGGGAUGGAAUUCCGCGUGUAGCAGUGAAAUGCGUAGAUAUGCGGAGGAACACCGAUGGCGAAGGCAAUCCCCUGGACCUGUACUGACGCUCAUGCACGAAAGCGUGGGAAGCAAACAGGAUUAGAUACCCUGGUAGUCCACGCCCUAAACGAUGUCAACUGGUUGUUGGGAGGGUUUCUUCUCAGUAACGUAGCUAACGCGUGAAGUUGACCGCCUGGGGAGUACGGCCGCAAGGUUGAAACUCAAAGGAAUUGACGGGGACCCGCACAAGCGGUGGAUGAUGUGGUUUAAUUCGAUGCAACGCGAAAAACCUUACCUACCCUUGACAUGCCAGGAAUCCUGAAGAGAUUUGGGAGUGCUCGAAAGAGAGCCUGGACACAGGUGCUGCAUGGCCGUCGUCAGCUCGUGUCGUGAGAUGUUGGGUUAAGUCCCGCAACGAGCGCAACCCUUGUCAUUAGUUGCUACGAAAGGGCACUCUAAUGAGACUGCCGGUGACAAACCGGAGGAAGGUGGGGAUGACGUCAGGUCAUCAUGGCCCUUAUGGGUAGGGCUACACACGUCAUACAAUGGCCGGGACAGAGGGCUGCCAACCCGCGAGGGGGAGCUAAUCCCAGAAACCCGGUCGUAGUCCGGAUCGUAGUCUGCAACUCGACUGCGUGAAGUCGGAAUCGCUAGUAAUCGCGGAUCAGCUUGCCGCGGUGAAUACGUUCCCGGGUCUUGUACACACCGCCCGUCAAAC